UUCGGGAUUACUGCUGUAAUCACUGCUGGUGGAACGGGGCCACCGACCCUGCGCAUGACCGCCUUCCUUGGGGGAAGCCAGACAGAAAAGCCAAUUUUCUGCAGUCCUUCCUGUCUCUCCAGAUGAUGUUGAACCGUGGGGGAGAUUAAUCAGAACAACACAGGUGGAUCUGCGCCAGCCCCCAGCGCCCAGCCCGUCAUGCCUUCUUGCAGGUGUGCAUUCACUGAUUGACUCCUUUUCUGCCCCCGACUCCUCCCUCCUUCCAAAAAGCACUGGGACCUUCAGUGAGGGGAUGGUGGCAGGAGGAGGGGGUUUGAGCCCGUCCACUGAGAAGCGGUUUCUUCCAGGGUGGGGGAAAUGUGGUGUCUGCCCAUCCCAGCCACUUGCAGCAUCUCCUGCCAGAAGCCUGCAGUGAAGGCUCAGGGCCUCGAAGGAAGGGACGGUGGGGGAGGGGCCUGGCAGGCGUGCACACAGGCUUGGCCGGGUUGGGGCAGAGGCUGGGCCUGGGCUCUGGGUCGGGAGUGGCAGCCGAGGGCUGGGAUCCCCGAGCUGUGCAGGAAGGGCCCCUGGCAGGGGGUGGACGAGGCCGCCUUGGCUGCUUCUGGGGAUUGGCGGUCUCUGUAGGGCUGUCCGUCUUUUAGUGCCGGCUUCACCUAUACGCCUGCCAUAGUCUCUGCCUUCCUGAGCUGUGCAGGUGUCACUCACGGCCAGCUGGGCAGUGGGUGCCCUGUUGAGACCUCCUGCGUUGCCCGCACGGGCGAGCUCAGAGCUGUGGUUGGUGUGGAUACUGGGCGCCUCUUCUCCAAAUGCAGGAGAAAAGCAGAAGGAUGCAAACAGAGAUGUGGAGAAAAAAUAAACACGAGAACAAACCCGGGACAAGGGUGGGAUUGCACCAAGAUUCCAUUGCUCCCUACUUGCCCAGAGUUGCAGAAACGCAACACAGCUUGCAGCUUGUGGCAGCUGCAAGGUCCUGUGUGACCAGAACACGGGGCUGUUAUUCCGUGAAAGCAAAGCCCUGUGCCUGGCUGUGUGCCCGGGCUGGAGGGCAGUGGCUGUUCACCAGCGCCAUCAUCUUUUUAGGAGAAUGAGCCAAGCUCUUCGGCCUGAGUCUGCCGUGGUCCUUCGCUUCCACACUGCUGCAGCCAGCCCCUUCCCGGGGUUUUCAUAGAGGCCGCCCUUCCCCCAGUGUCUUUCUGUCAUCAGCCUUAAUUAGGUGAUUCGG
rnacentral:lncRNA from 1 species